AUGGAGGCGACGCUGAGCGUGGAGCCCGCGGGCCGCAGCUGCUGGGAUGAGCCGCUGAGCAUCGCCGUGCGCGGCCUGGCCCCGGAGCAGCCCGUCACACUGCGCUCUGCCUUGCGCGACGAGAAGGGCGCGCUCUUCCGAGCCCACGCGCGCUACCGCGCCGACGCUGGCGGCGAGCUGGACCUGGCGCGCGCGCCCGCGCUGGGCGGCAGCUUCUCGGGGCUCGAGCCCAUGGGGCUGCUCUGGGCCAUGGAGCCCGAUCGGCCUUUUUGGCGAUUGGUCAAGCGCGACGUGCAGACGCCCUUCGUGGUGGAGCUGGAGGUGCUGGACGGACACGAGCCCGACGGCGGGCAGCGGCUGGCGCGGGCGGUGCACGAGCGUCACUUCAUGGCUCCCGGGGUGCGGCGCGUGCCCGUGCGCGAGGGCCGGGUGCGCGCCACGCUCUUCCUGCCCCCAGAAUCUGGACCCUUUCCUGGGAUCAUAGACCUUUUGGGAGUUGGAGGUGGCCUUCUGGAGUAUCGGGCAAGUCUGCUGGCUGGGAAGGGCUUUGCCGUCAUGGCUCUGGCUUAUUACAACUACGACGACCUCCCUAAGAACAUGGAAGCCAUGCGCAUGGAGUACUUUGAAGAAGCCAUGAACUACCUGCGCAGCCACCCCGAGGUAAAAGGACCUGGAAUUGGGCUGCUUGGGAUUUCCAAAGGGGGUGAACUUGGCCUUGCUAUGGCCUCCUUCCUGAAGGGCAUCACGGCCGCUGUGGUCAUCAAUGGCUCCGUGGCUGCUGUUGGAAACACCAUCUACUACAAGGAUGAGACUAUACCCCCUGUGACAAUCCUGAGAAAUCAGGUCAAAAUGACCAAGGAUGGCCUCAAGGAUGUUGUAGAUGCUUUGCAAAGCCCUCUGGUAGAACAGAAGAGCUUCAUCCCCGUGGAAAGGUCUGACACGACCUUCCUGUUCCUUGUAGGUCAGGACGACCACAACUGGAAGAGCAAGUUCUAUGCCGAUGAGAUCUCCAAACGCCUGCAGGCCCACGGGAAGGAGAAGCCCCAGAUCAUCUGCUACCCAGCAGCAGGGCAUUAUAUUGAGCCCCCUUACUUCCCGCUGUGCAGUGCUGGCAUGCACCUCCUGGUGGGUGCCAACAUCACCUUUGGAGGGGAGCCCAAGCCUCACGCUAUGGCCCAGUUGGAUGCAUGGCAGCAACUCCAGACUUUCUUCCACAAACACCGACUUUCACGUCUCCAACCGCUCUUCAUGGUCUAUUUAAGGACCGGGUUUCCUGUGCUCUGGGUCUCCUCCUCAGAAGCUGAUCAUCUGUCUCUCGAGAUGCAUUAAAGCUUUACUGCAGAAGGAUCCGAGUGUCCUGUGUGUGUUUUCGCUGGCGAGACUAUAACACAGACUAUAACACAUCUGAUGCCGAAACCCGGGAACUGCCACAACAUUGCCGGCAUUGAGGAGACCCCUUGGAGACAGGGCGGAUUCAGAACUGCAGGGGAAGGAGGAAGAUAAUCCCUUUUGGAUUCCGGAGCGUCUCACUCGAAGGAUCCAGCUCUCGGACAAUGAGUCUCAAGAACAAGAUCCCAAGACAUCGAUGGAUCAUACUCCUCAUGUUGGAGAUUCUGGUUCCUAGUAUAUCUGGAGAGUUAAGAUGGGGAAUUAUGUCAACUUUCCCCCUUCCUACGCCAGUUAUGCAUAAUGCACAAAUAUUUCCACGCUUUUUUACUANAGAUAAAGAACUGGGACUUGCCUAUUUACCCUUAGAUGAACGGAUUCAGGCUUUACAAGAAAAUAGAACCUUCUUCCUACAGGGAAGCCUGUGCUUUGUGCUAAUUUCUUCAUUACAAGGUAAGAGUUAAUGCAUAUCCUUGUAUAAUCAAUCAGCAGCCUGGUUAAAGAAAGCC